rnacentral:rRNA from 1 species
GACGAACGCUGGCGGCGUGCCUAAUACAUGCAAGUAGAACGCUGAAGGAGGAGCUUUCUUCUCUGGAUGAGUUGCGAACGGGUGAGUAACGCGUAGGUAACCUGCCUGUUAGCGGGGGAUAACUAUUGGAAACGAUAGCUAAUACCGCAUAAUAGUAGAUGUUGCAUGACAUUUGCUUAAAAGGUGCAAUUGCAUCGCUACCAGAUGGACCUUCGGUGUAUUAUCUGGUUGGUGAGGUAACGGCUCACCAAGGCAACGAUACAGAGCCGACCUGAGAGGGUGGUCGGCCACACUGGGACUGAGACACGGCCCAGACUCCCACGGGAAGCCGCAGUAGGGAAACUUCGGCAAGGGACGGAAGUCUGGCCGAGAAACGCCGCGUGAGGGAAGAAGGUUGUCGGGUCGGAAAGCUCUGUUGUAAGGGAAGAACGAGUGUGAGAGUGGAAAGUUCACACUGUGACGGUAUCUGAUCAGAAAGCGACGGCUAACUACGUG